rnacentral:lncRNA from 1 species
GUGGCCGAAAGGGGAGGGGGAAGUAGGAAACACGGGAAAGGAGGGCGAGGAGGAGUUGCACUGGCUAAACUUAGGCGGGGAGGUAGAGAACCCAGGCCUGACAGUCUCGAGUGUGUGGAGCCUGAAGGGAAAGAGCAUGCACGCGGCUAGGGGCGGAAGGAGGGCGGUUUGGAGGGCCAAGGACGCCGCGGGUAGGCGAGGGAGGGGGAUUCCACAGCCGAGUUUCUGCACCACCACCACCCCCAGCUCCCUGUUCAAAGAAGUCAUGGCAGCCUUCUCUCUCCUGGAAAGGAAAGAAGGAAAAGAUCCAGAGCUGGAAAUUUUUAGAGUCCAUCCACUCCAAUCCCUCAUUUUACAGAAAUAGCCUUUCCCCCAGGAUGGCGCUGAAGGUGAAGAAGGAAGUGGUUGUGCCCCCCAAGACAGAAGCCAAGUCCAAGGCCUUGAAGGCCAACAAGGCAGUGUUGAAGGGUGUUGAUAGCCACAAAAAGAAAAAGAUCUGAUCCCUCACCUUCUGGCAACCCAAGACACUAAGACUUCCACGGCAGCCCAAAUACCCUUGGAAAAGUGCCCCUCAGAGAAACAAACUUGAUCACCAUGCCAUCAUUAAGUUUCCCUUGACUACUGAGUCUGCUAUGAAGAAGAUUGAGGACAACACCCUCAUCUUCAUUGUGGACAUCAAGACUAACGAGCAUCAGAUCAAGCAGGUGGUAAAGAAGCUGUAUGACAUCAACAUGGCCAAGGUCAACACACUGAUCUGGUCUGAUGGAGAGAAGGCCUAUGUCCAAUUUGCUCCAGACUGUGAUGCUUUAGAUGUUGCCAACAAAAUUGGAAUCAUCUAAACUGUGUCCAGCUACCCCACUCCACCUACGAUAAAAAGUUUUCCAGUGAAAAAUAAAUUAAAAUAAAAAUGAAGAAACA